AUGGAAAUACCCCCUGUCCUCUUGGGAAGCGGCGUGCUACAUAGUAAGCCAGCCUCAGAGGCAGAGGUGGGGACCUCGAAGCUAUGGGAGUCUGAGAGUCUGGAGGCAGAUCCAGCUUGUCCCCAAAGACAGGGGCUUCCAAGAGCUGGAGGCUGGCCAGGUCACAGGCACUACACAAGUUGCUGGAAAUGUUCUGUUUUCUUGAGUGCCGGUGCUUUCCUCCAGGCACUGACAUCCUAACGCCUGAUGAGUGGGCGGAAGAGGCGGAUGGGAGACACAACAGACCAUCAGCCAACCUGCCCUUCCGAGGAUGGACACCUCCCACCACUGAGCAAGGCUACGCUUCGGGGGCGCUCACUCGUAAAAAUGGAAACUAAACAGCAUGAAGGAAGUGAGGAAGAGAAUCAUUUCUCUUGUUUCCCACACCAUCAGGUGAGAGGCCUUCCUCGUUCCUUUCCCAGGUGACUCAGGGGCUAUUAGUGUAUUAAUGCAGCCCGUCACCCUAUCUGCGCCCAGCUCUCCCAGCCUAGAUCCACUGACUUGGGCCUGAUUUCCUUAGGAUCCAAGGUAAUGUCACCUUAUUUCCAAAGACCCAAGUGUCCAACCAAUUGUAAAGCAAGAUUGUUUUAUGAGUUACUCAUAGCGUGAUGACCCUCAUGAUGCUUUGACUCAUAUUGACUCAUAUUGGACUUCCAAAGGUUAUUUUGAAAUGUACCCAGUGCUCUGACUUAUGGGUAAAGUUCUGCAGGGAAAACCACAUGGUAAAUAUGUAUUUUUUAUCUUAAUUUUUAAUGUAGUAAAAUAUACGUAACAUGAAAUUUAUUUACCAUUUUGACCAUUUUAAAGGUGGACAAUUCUCACAAUGUUGUGCAAGCAUCACCACCAUUUACCUCUGGAACUUUUGGCCUUUCCAAACUGAAACUCUGUGCCUGCAGGGUAGUGACCCCACUCCCACCCCAUGCUCCCCUCUGCCAACCCUGGCCACUACUGUUCUUUCCGUCUCUGAAUUUGAAGACACUUGGGACCUUAUGCAAACUAGAAUACUAUAGGAUUUGUUCUCUUAUGACAGCCUAGAAUACUAUAGGAUUUGUUCUCUUAUGACAGCCUAGAAGGAAGAAAGGUUUUUUUUCUUCUUUAUAUCUUCACAACACUUCACUUUGACACGAAAUGUGUGGGGUUUUCUUCACACCAGUUCUCCAAUUCUCUGGGACACUAACAAUUGUGACAACUGCCCCGCAAU
rnacentral:lncRNA from 1 species